rnacentral:snRNA from 1 species
GUGCUUGACAGCACAUGUACUAAAAUUGGGAACAAUAUGGAGAUUAGCAGGGGCCCUGCACAAUGAUAAACAUCAGAUUUUGUGAUGCAUUUCCUAUUUAA